UACAGAGGGUGCAAGCGUUAAUCGGAAUUACUGGGCGUAAAGCGCGCGUAGGUGGUUUGUUAAGUUGGAUGUGAAAUCCCCGGGCUCAACCUGGGAACUGCAUUCAAAACUGACAAGCUAGAGUAUGGUAGAGGGUGUGGAAUUUCCUGUGUAGCGGUGAAAUGCGUAGAUAUAGGAAGGAACACCAGUGGCGAAGGCGACCACCUGGACUGA
rnacentral:rRNA from 1 species